AAACGAAGCCGUUUCAACUGAUGACAAGAUGUUUAUUGUUUAGUCUAUUUUAACAUUGGCCCUUUAGGGUUUCAUUUCUCAUUUUCUCUCCUGCCUUGUGUCGUUUGUUCUCCAGUUGCUCGGCCCUCUACUCAUUCCUGCCUCUCCGCUGCUGCCAUUCCUCUCCACUCGGCUCAAGCCUUUCAGUCUCUACUACUUUAUGACGCUCAAUCAAGGACCAAAGCAUCAUUGGACUUUAUCUAGAAGGAUGUUAGUAAUGAAAGUUAUUGUAAUGUUUUAGUUUUGGAUUUUUAUGUGGUUAUUUGGAUUUGUAAUGUUUUGGAGUAUUUAGUUAUUUGGAUUUGUAAUGUUUUGGAUUAUUUGGAUCUGUAAUGUUUUGGAGUAUGUGGUUAUUCGGAUUUGUAUUUGGAUUUCUAAUUUUUUGGUUUUGGAUUUGUAUUUUUUUUUUAAUAAAUAUUUUGGAUUUGUAUUUA